GAUGAAGAACGCAGCGAAAUGCGAUAAGUAAUGUGAAUUGCAGAAUUCAGUGAAUCAUCGAAUCUUUGAACGCACAUUGCGCCCGCCAGUAUUCUGGCGGGCAUGCCUGUUCGAGCGUCAUUACAACCCUCAGGCCCCCGGGCCUGGCGUUGGGGAUCGGCGGAAGCCCCCUGCGGGCACAACGCCGUCCCCCAAAUACAGUGGCGGUCCCGCCGCAGCUUCCAUUGCGUAGUAGCUAACACCUCGCAACUGGAGAGCGGCGCGGCCACGCCGUAAAACACCCAACUUCUGAAUGUUGACCUCGAAUCAGAUAGGAAUACCCGCUGAACUUAAGCAUAUCAAUAAGCGGAGG
rnacentral:misc_RNA from 1 species